rnacentral:rRNA from 1 species
GACGAACGCUUGCGGCGUGCUUAACACAUGCAAGUCGAACGGAAAGGCCCUGCUUUUGUGGGGUGCUCGAGUGGCGAACGGGUGAGUAACACGUGAGUAACCUGCCCUUGACUUUGGGAUAACUUCAGGAAACUGGGGCUAAUACCGGAUAGGAGCUCCUGCUGCAUGGUGGGGGUUGGAAAGUUUCGGCGGUUGGGGAUGGACUCGCGGCUUAUCAGCUUGUUGGUGGGGUAGUGGCUUACCAAGGCUUUGACGGGUAGCCGGCCUGAGAGGGUGACCGGCCACAUUGGGACUGAGAUACGGCCCAGACUCCUACGGGAGGCAGCAGUGGGGAAUAUUGCACAAUGGGCGGAAGCCUGAUGCAGCAACGCCGCGUGCGGGAUGACGGCCUUCGGGUUGUAAACCGCUUUCGCCUGUGACGAAGCGUGAGUGACGGUAAUGGGUAAAGAAGCACCGGCUAACUACGUGCCAGCAGCCGCGGUGAUACGUAGGGUGCGAGCGUUGUCCGGAUUUAUUGGGCGUAAAGGGCUCGUAGGUGGUUGAUCGCGUCGGAAGUGUAAUCUUGGGGCUUAACCCUGAGCGUGCUUUCGAUACGGGUUGACUUGAGGAAGGUAGGGGAGAAUGGAAUUCCUGGUGGAGCGGUGGAAUGCGCAGAUAUCAGGAGGAACACCAGUGGCGAAGGCGGUUCUCUGGGCCUUUCCUGACGCUGAGGAGCGAAAGCGUGGGGAGCGAACAGGCUUAGAUACCCUGGUAGUCCACGCUGUAAACGGUGGGUACUAGGUGUGGGGUCCAUUCCACGGGUUCCGUGCCGUAGCUAACGCUUUAAGUACCCCGCCUGGGGAGUACGGCCGCAAGGCUAAAACUCAAAGGAAUUGACGGGGCCCCGCACAAGCGGCGGAGCAUGCGGAUUAAUUCGAUGCAACGCGUAGAACCUUACCUGGGUUUGACAUGGAUCGGGAGUGCUCAGAGAUGGGUGUGCCUCUUUUGGGGUCGGUUCACAGGUGGUGCAUGGCUGUCGUCAGCUCGUGUCGUGAGAUGUUGGGUUAAGUCCCGCAACGAGCGCAACCCUUGUUCACUGUUGCCAGCACGUUAUGGUGGGGACUCAGUGGAGACCGCCGGGGUCAACUCGGAGGAAGGUGGGGAUGACGUCAAGUCAUCAUGCCCCUUAUGUCCAGGGCUUCACGCAUGCUACAAUGGCUGGUACAGAGAGUGGCGAGCCUGUGAGGGUGAGCGAAUCUCGGAAAGCCGGUCUCAGUUCAGAUUGGGGUCUGCAACUCGACCUCAUGAAGUCGGAGUCGCUAGUAAUCGCAGAUCAGCAACGCUGCGGUGAAUACGUUCCCGGG